GAUAGCUGGUUCUCUCCGAAAUAGCUUUAGGGCUAGCCUCAAGUGAUGAUUAUUGGAGGUAGAGCACUGUUUGGACGAGGGGCCCCUCUCGGGUUACCGAAUUCAGACAAACUCCGAAUGCCAAUUAAUUUAACUUGGGAGUCAGAACAUGGGUGAUAAGGUCCGUGUUCGAAAGGGAAACAGCCCAGACCACCAGCUAAGGUCCCAAAAUAUAUGUUAAGUGGAAAAGGAUGUGGCGUUGCCCAGACAACUAGGAUGUUGGCUUAGAAGCAGCCAUCAUUUAAAGAGUGCGUAAUAGCUCACUAGUCGAGUGACACUGCGCCGAAAAUGUACCGGGGCUAAACAUAUUACCGAAGCUGUGGAUUGUCCUUUGGACAAUGGUAGGAGAGCGUUCUAAGGGCGUUGAAGCAUGAUCGUAAGGACAUGUGGAGCGCUUAGAAGUGAGAAUGCCGGUGUGAGUAGCGAAAGACGGGUGAGAAUCCCGUCCACCGAUUGACUAAGGUUUCCAGAGGAAGGCUCGUCCGCUCUGGGUUAGUCGGGUCCUAAGCUGAGGCCGACAGGCGUAGGCGAUGGAUAACAGGUUGAUAUUCCUGUACCACCUAUAAUCGUUUUAAUCGAUGGGGGGACGCAGUAGGAUAGGCGAAGCGUGCGAUUGGAUUGCACGUCUAAGCAGUAAGGCUGAGUAUUAGGCAAAUCCGGUACUCGUUAAGGCUGAGCUGUGAUGGGGAGAAGACAUUGUGUCUUCGAGUCGUUGAUUUCACACUGCCGAGAAAAGCCUCUAGAUAGAAAAUAGGUGCCCGUACCGCAAACCGACACAGGUAGUCAAGAUGAGAAUUCUAAGGUGAGCGAGCGAACUCUCGUUAAGGAACUCGGCAAAAUGACCCCGUAACUUCGGGAGAAGGGGUGCUCUUUAGGGUUAACGCCCAGAAGAGCCGCAGUGAAUAGGCCCAAGCGACUGUUUAUCAAAAACACAGGUCUCUGCUAAACCGUAAGGUGAUGUAUAGGGGCUGACGCCUGCCCGGUGCUGGAAGGUUAAGAGGAGUGGUUAGCUUCUGCGAAGCUACGAAUCGAAGCCCCAGUAAACGGCGGCCGUAACUAUAACGGUCCUAAGGUAGCGAAAUUCCUUGUCGGGUAAGUUCCGACCCGCACGAAAGGCGUAACGAUUUGGGCACUGUCUCAACGAGAGACUCGGUGAAAUCAUAGUACCUGUGAAGAUGCAGGUUACCCGCGACAGGACGGAAAGACCCCGUGGAGCUUUACUGUAGCCUGAUAUUGAAAUUCGGCACAGCUUGUACAGGAUAGGUAGGAGCCUUUGAAACGUGAGCGCUAGCUUACGUGGAGGCGCUGGUGGGAUACUACCCUAGCUGUGUUGGCUUUCUAACCCGCACCACUUAUCGUGGUGGGAGACAGUGUCAGGCGGGCAGUUUGACUGGGGCGGUCGCCUCCUAAAAGGUAACGGAGGCGCUCAAAGGUUCCCUCAGAAUGGUUGGAAAUCAUUCAUAGAGUGUAAAGGCAUAAGGGAGCUUGACUGCGAGACCUACAAGUCGAGCAGGGUCGAAAGACGGACUUAGUGAUCCGGUGGUUCCGCAUGGAAGGGCCAUCGCUCAACGGAUAAAAGCUACCCCGGGGAUAACAGGCUUAUCUCCCCCAAGAGUUCACAUCGACGGGGAGGUUUGGCACCUCGAUGUCGGCUCAUCGCAUCCUGGGGCUGUAGUCGGUCCCAAGGGUUGGGCUGUUCGCCCAUUAAAGCGGUACGCGAGCUGGGUUCAGAACGUCGUGAGACAGUUCGGUCCCUAUCCGUCGUGGGCGUAGGAAAUUUGAGAGGAGCUGUCCUUAGUACGAGAGGACCGGGAUGGACAUACCUCUGGUGUACCAGUUGUCGUGCCAACGGCAUAGCUGGGUAGCUAUGUGUGGACGGGAUAAGUGCUGAAAGCAUCUAAGCAUGAAGCCCCCCUCAAGAUGAGAUUUCCCAACUUCGGUUAUAAGAUCCCUCAAAGAUGAUGAGGUUAAUAGGUUCGAGGUGGAAGCAUGGUGACAUGUGG
rnacentral:rRNA from 1 species